rnacentral:piRNA from 1 species
UAAAUGGGCAUGAGGGACUGCUGAGCCCC